GAUGAACGCUGGCGGCGUGCCUAAUACCUGCAAGUCGAGCGAAGCGGGGACGGGUGAGUAACACGUGGAUCACCUCCUCUAAGACUGGGAUAACUUCGGGCAACCGGAGCUAAACCGUAUACUUUUAGAUGGAUUUGCGCUGCAUGAGCUAGUUGGUAAGGUAACGGGUUACCAAGGCAACGAUGCCUAGCCGACCUGAGAGGGUGAUCGGGCACACUGGACCUGAGACACGGUCCAAACGCCUACGGUAGGCAGCAGGAGGGAAUCUGACGCAAUGGGCGAAAGCCUGACGGAGCAACGCCGCGUGAGUGAUGAAGGUCUGCGGAUCGUAAAACUCUUUUAUUAGGGAAGCGGUACCUAAUCAGAAAGCCCCGGCUAACUACGUGCCAGCAGCCGCGGUAAUUC
rnacentral:rRNA from 1 species